AUCUGCAGAGUUGAAAUGAAAUGUUUUGAGCUCUUCAAGCUGACUCGUCAGAAUCCUGGAGCCUUUUAAAAAAUGACGAAUUGGAAGAAAAAAAUUACUUUAUCAAUAACCAGGCUCCACCAGGAUUGACCAAGAUGUUUAUUCCUGGCACUUGUCAUUCUCAGCAAGCACAGAACAGAGAGCAAAUACAAAAGGCCCAAAGUGCAUUGCAUCUUUUAUGGGAAAACAUUUCCUCCAGAAACUUACAAGAAAGGAAUCAUGGGCAUUACAUUUUUGAGAUUCUACAAUUAUCAGAAACAUUAUUGAACAUGGUAUUUGACUGAAGAUGGAAUUCUAGCUUAGAAAUUAGUAUUUUGCCAAAUGUUGAAGUUGUUUCUUCUAACUUCCAGUGUUUCUCUCGAAAAAUGUUAUGAUGUUCUGAUUCUAAAUGCAGAUCUGUCUAAUGUGAACUGUUGUGCUUGUUAAUCUUUCCAGAAGAUUUUGUUAUUAUCUCUUUAUCUUUGGUAUUCCACAAUUUCAAAACAGUAUAUCCUGUGUGCCACUCCCCAUAAAAACACAAACAAAAAAAAUACAUUUCACUGGGUUGAGUACUCAGCAGGCCUUUGUACAUUCUGAAAGAUAAAUAUCUUUCAAUCUUCAAAAAUAUUUUGAUAUUUCUUUGAUGAUUUUAUUCUUUUCCUUUAUAUUUUUUGAUUUUUUUCCUUAAAAUUUAAAUCAAUGCUCGAAUUGUAUUACCUUUUAUUGUCUAUUUUCCAUAUCUUUGUGAUUUUUCUGCUUUCUAAAAUGUAUUCUUAACUGGACCGUCCAACCCUUCUGUGGAUAUUUUUAUGUCUGUUGUUACAUUCAGUAAUUUCUAAGAGUUAUUUCUUUUACUCUGAGUUUACUUUUUAAAUAAUCUCAUUGUGCUUUUAUGGAUACAUUAUCUUCUGUUAUGUCUCUGAAAUAAUUAAUAUUUUCUUUUGAAUUAUUAUCCUUCUAUGUUUCUUCUUUUUCAUCCAAGAUCUUAUUUUCUAUUUAUUGAUUUUGUUCACUUUUCAUUUAGAGGAUUGGUUUAUAUGUGGUACUCAUUGACCAUCCAUUCAGUUUUGAAUGCUGAACAAAAAUGUUGAUUUACUGCUCAGAAUAAAAGUUGAUUGGAUGCUUAGUGUGCAUGAGUCAGCUUGCAAAUGGCUGGUAUACCUCACAUAAAGGAGAGUCACUUAAUUGAGUAUUUUUAAGUAUAAAUGUUUAGGAUCCAUUUAUCCUGGUCUGAUGUUCGUAGAGAAGAAUUUUCUAAUCUCCUGAAGGUGAGUGUAUGAAAUUGGCUGGGGAGUUCCAUUUUUGAUAAUGCAGACAUUCAUAUUAAGCCCGUUGUUUUUAUUUGUCUCCUGUAUUUCCCUCCACUCCUAUCAGCUAUGUCUGGUGAUCCAAAGAUAAAACCCUCUUUUGCUUAACAUCUCCAUAAAGUUCAUGUGUGUUGAGGAGAGAGGGGUACUUUAAGGAUUGGUAGGAAAGUUAAAAGUAUUUUUAGAGAAGUAAUCUUUCCUGUCAUUCAACAAACCUCAUUAUUUUCAGUCUCAUCCCACAAGCUUUAGUAGUUCUUUACAAGUCACUAGUAUUUCCCAUUUCUGAGUAAUUCAGUGUCUACAAGGAGGGGCUUGGCUUGCUUCCUUUGGUUUUUCCCUUGAGGGAGCUUUGGCAUUGGCCUUCUUUACUAUACUGUAUCCGUUACCAUUUAUCCAUCUAUUUUUCUUUUACCAAAAAAUGUUUAACAUCUCUCAUCUGCUGUAGUUUCUUCUCCCUUUCUUGUGUUUGUGUGACUGUUUUGCAUUCAUUCACUUGUCACAUGAAUGAAAUUGAGAAAAAACAUGCUCAAGCAGAACUCACUGCAUCUUCAAUUUUGUAAAACUAUUCUGUAAUUCAAUAAUUUUUAAAUUUUAUUUUAGUGACUUCACAUUAAUGACACUUUGCAUUAGCUGAGAUAGCAAAAUGUUCUUGUGAGGAAAUGGUUACUUGUUAGCUAUGGAAUUCAAAUCUUGGCUGCCCACCACUGGGAUAAAGUUGAUUUGAAAAUGAAUAUAUCUAUAUACUGAUUGAAUUCUUCAGUCAGUAAAGAUAUACUCCUACAAUAUACCAGAGUGUUUAAUUGAUUUUCUCUAGUACUCAAUUCCAAAUACAAAAAAACAGUGUUAAUGAAUGAGACAGCCUAUCAGUAGUAUUGCAAUGUAUGGUUAGCUUAUUCCUAGAAUAAUUGCUACUGUUAUUGUCCAUGAGUUUUAGACAUCACUAUUGAUGAUUGCUACUAAAAUAUUAAUAAAAUUGACCAAUAUCAUAAAAUGUCUUACCCAAAUAUAUAAGACUCAGUGAACAUAUUGAUAUGUACUAUUAAAUUGCUGUAACUGAUGAAGAUAUAAAAAGAAUAUACUAUUGAAAAGGGAGUAAAUUCAAGGAAGAAACGAAUUAAAAAGUUAUUUAGUGAUAGUAUUUUUGACUAUUUUCUAUUACAAAGGAAAGAUCAAACAUUGUUUAAUGUUUUUGAAUUAGUGGCUAGAUACUGGCAUUGAUAAUUGAGAUAUGAAAUAUAGGAAAGAUAGAAGUUUGGGUGAGAAAUGUUGGAUUUGGUUUCAGGCAAGUUAAGCUUGAGGUUAUUUUAAAAUAUUAAACAGCAGCCUGUAAUACAGUACUGCAGCUCAUCAGAGAUGUCUAGGUCAAAUAUGUAGAAUUGAUCAGAUUAGCUUAGCUACCCAGAAUAGAAAUAUUCCCAUAUCACAAGUGUUUAAGCAAAAUAACAGUUUAUUUCACUCUAGUAGAAAAAGGCUAUGGAAGGCAACUUAGGCUAAUUUGAGCUCAACAAAGUUAUCCAGGCUUUUUCCAGAUGUCUACUCUGCCAUCCCAAGGGCUGGCCCUCGUCCUAUUAGGUCCAAAAUUUUGCAUGUAAAUGCUUCAUCACAAUGGUGUCUCCAAUAGCUAAAUGGAGUAAAGGAAGAGGACAUCACCCUUCUGUUUUAAAGACACUUAGUCAACCUCCAUCACCAUUCUGUUUACAUCUCUUUGGCCAGAAUUUAUCUGUAUCUCAUGAAACUACAAAGAAAUCCUGGGAAUAGAGUCUUUUAAUCUGUAUGGUAACCCAGCAGGCUAAAAACCAGCUUUCUGUAUUUAAGUAAAAAUAAGAGAAUAGAGGAAGGAGUAUGUACCUGACAGUUUUGAUUUAAGUUACUGGCACAUAGAUUGCAUUUUGAAAUGUAGAUGUAGAUGUAUAUGAACCAGAAAAAGUAUGUUAAAAAUCUUAUUUUAAAAUCAGAUUUUUGCAGGUUGAGCAAUGAAUGCAGAUGAAGAACUAAAGAGAAGUAGAGACAAAUCCUUCAAGGAACUUGAAUGAAAAAUGAGAGACAGGACAAUAUCUCAGAAAUUUAGGUUUGUGAGAGAGUAAAAGUGAAAUCAGAAGGAGACCAGUCAAAAAUGAGGAACAUGAUGAGCCUGAUGACCAAGUUGAAUUUUUAAAUGAUGCUAUAUAAUGAUUUUCUACUUAAUGAAUGUAUGUGCACUAAUCCUUUACUUUAGGUAUUAUCAUCUUUUUUUACAUAAGUGCAAAAAUGUAGGCCUGAAAGGUUAAAUAACUUAAAUUGAGACACAGAGCUGUGAAUUUAACCAAUGCCCCAAUCUCAACUCAUAAUCUCAAUCUGUCCCACUACCUCUUCUUAAUUAGGAGGGAUCUUAACUCUUAGGCAUAAUUAAUUUACAUUUUUUUUUUUUAAAUUAGGAAGUUAAAAAGCUCAGUGAAGGUGAGAUGGUGUUAGUCAGAAUGAACAAUAUAAGUAUGCUUUCAGUGGGAAAAAACUUUUUAAUGGUGAUAAAUUUCAAAACAAUUUAUCUAGGAUCAGGUGCUGAAGGUGCACAUUCUAAUUAUGUUUCCAAAGUGGAAGCUGAUCGCUAUAUAUUUUUUUCAGUGACAGAAUUUUUUUUUUGUAUUUAAAUACAUAACUUUCCUCCAAAUAACCCCCAAAUAAUAAACCAGAUUAAAUAAAAUUCACAGUGAAUAUGCCCAACCAACAUCUGUAUGUGCAACUAAACACUGUGUCUAUUACUGCGGUGUGAACCUUAAACAAUAUAAAAGUGUUCUGGGGAGUCGAAGAAGCCCAAGUUUUAACUCUGUGGUAUUUGGGGAGAGAAGACGCAGGAAGUAAGAGAAAGGGGAAAUAAAUUUUCUAUUUCUUAAUUUUGUCCUUCCAAUAUAUUCAUAAAGACUAAAAGAGAAAAGGAAGCUUGGGAUUGUAAAUAAAUAGAGGAAUACAGGAGUGUGGGACCCUUGCAAUGCUACCUGACCAAAACAUAUGAAAGAAAUUAAUUCCUUUCAGAUUGAAAAGUUGGGAGAAGAG
rnacentral:lncRNA from 1 species